AUUGAACGCUGGCGGAAUGCUUUACACAUGCAAGUCGAGCGGCAGCACGGUGACAACCCUGGUGGCAAGCGGCGAACGGGUGAGUAAUACAUCGGAACAUGCCCAGUCGUGGGGGAUAACACUUCGAAAGAAGUGCUACUACCGCAUACGUCCUGAGGGAGAAAGCGGGGGAUCUUCGGACCUCGCGCGAUUGGAGUGGCCGAUGUCAGAUUAGCUAGUUGGUGGGGUAAAGGCCCACCAAGGCAACGAUCUGUAGCUGGUCUGAGAGGAUGAUCGGCCACACUGGGACUGAGACACGGCCCAGACUCCUACGGGAGGCAGCAGUGGGGAAUUUUGGACAAUGGGGGAAACCCUGAUCCAGCCAUUCCGCGUGAGUGAAGAAGGCUUUCGGGUUGUAAAGCUCUUUCGGCAGGAACGAAACGGCGAGCUCUAACAUAGCUUGCUAAUGACGGUACCUGAAGAAGAAGCACCGGCUAACUACGUGCCAGCAGCCGCCGUAAUAC
rnacentral:rRNA from 1 species